ACAGCAGUUUUCAUCCCAGCUGUAGUGACCCCCAGCCCCCCCAACUUUAGUAAACGACUCAAGUUCCAUGAGGACUUUCACUUCUUUAUUUAUCAUCGCAGAAGUGAGGUGUUACUUCACAUACAUACACACACAAAGAAUGAAAUAAAGAAAUGAAACUCGCUAAGCAGACAAAAAACAGACACUUUCUGCUUAGAAAACAGCCUUCUCCGGUGGGAGAGGAGGAUGGACUGCCAUAUCUAAGAGAAAGACUUGCCCCGAAUUUGACACUCCUUCUCACUUCGGACUCACAUUCUCACUUGAAAAGAGAAAAAGAAUAAAAGGAGGGGGGGGGUGAUCCUACCAAAAAGGAAUAAAAAGAAAAGGGGAAAAAAAACCUACCUGAGAAGUCUUGUUUGUAGUUUUGGCCAGAAAUGGUGAGAAGAAAAAGCAUGAAGAAGCCGCGAAGUGUGGGGGAGAAAAAGGUGGAAGCGAAGAAACAGCUCCCGGAGCAAACUGUACAAAACCUCGCCAAGAGUGUCGGGAGGCAGGACCGUUAUUCCUGCGGAGCAGGAGAGAGAGAGACCCUGAAACACGCGCCACCUAUCUUUGUGGGGAGGGAUAAUUGAAGCGCCCUGAGCGUGAGCAUCAUGUGAAAACGUGAUCGCCAAGUUUCUCUCUGGGAAAGGAUCUGGGAUAGAUUAUACCUUGAAGUCUCCGCAAAGGCUUUAGUGGAAGAAAUGAAAUUCCACCUCCCUCCCUUCCUCUCUCCCUCCCUCUCGCCUUCCUCCCUCCCCUCUCCACGCCCCCCCCACCCUGCUCCCCCCUCCCCCAGUCAAGCCUUUGGCAUCAUUAUCCUCAUCACUAAAUCCUACAGCGUACUGGGCGGAAAACGGUGCACACCAUUCACAGAACUGGAGAACUCCAAGGGGCGAAAGUUAAAGGGAAAGAUCCCGGGUCCUCAAUUCAGAUUGCCUCUUCAUAUACAGAUAUCUCUAAUGACCAGAUUUGAGAUGCACAUUAAGUUGUGUGGAUUUCUCAGCACAGCUUCUGGAACUAAAUUCUUUGCCCUUUCUCUCUCUUUCUUCUUUGUAGAAGCCAGAACCAGGAAAAAAGAAUGCUGCCUGUGAACUGCAUCUUAGGGUGCAUGUGUUGUUGUUGUGUGUGUGAUGAAUUUCUGGAUUACAUCCUCAAACUAAAAAGUAGCUUGGAAUUUUUUAAAUGGAGUUUCUAAGUAAAUUAACAGAGAGCGCUGGGUUGACCAUAUCUGAAUCCCUCUACAUCUCAAGGAGACCUUACUACAAAGUGAGGGAGUGUGUGUGGUGAGGCAGGAGGAAAAGGAGAAAGGCCAUAGAGGAACUUAGCAGGGAAGGAAGAGCAUAAUAUUAAACAGCAUGGGGUCUAAGUUUGGGAGUAUAUAUAUUUUUGAUAUUGCAAUUAAAGUAAAAUUAAAAAGAAAAGACUCCACCUUUGCUCUGAAGGGAUUGGUUAUGUAAAUAUGGAAGGGAUUUCCUGGAGAAUACAGCUUUCUACUGUAUGGUUAAUUAAAUAAUCACUCAAAAGCUUCCAAUGUGACGCUUCUGUCGUAAUCCAAUCAGGUUACAUAGGUCCUAAACAAGAAAGAUAUUUUCCACAUCUGGAAGUCAGCAAUUUAGCAAGUACUGCACAUUAUUAACCAAUUCAGAGCCCACUUCCCAAGGGAAUUUUUUUUUUUUGAAGUUUAAGUGUUCUUAACCAAUGCUCUGCUGUUUUGUUAAUCAAAAAGCUGGUUUACACUGCACAUAAUUGGAACUAAUAUAGAAGUAAAUAAAGACAGCCAAAUUUGAGGAUGCUGAGCACAGGCAUUUAUCGGAAAAGGAAGAAAUCUCUUAGCCUCCAAUGGUUCAGGCUCAAUUUCUUAAAGAAUUGUGAGGCUUUUUUUUUUUUUUUUUAAAGAGUGAAAGUGCUUGCGGAUCUCAGAGUACAAAUAAACUUUCAGUCCCACAACCUUAGGGCUUCUUUGCAAAGGUAAAUCUAGAGGUGUCAAGAGGACGAAAGAAUAGCCUCAUGCCAUUUUUUCUGCUUUAAUAUUGUUAAUAUGUUACACCCCUGUUUUCAGUCUGAUGAAAUCUGAAACAAAUAAUACCCUGAACCAACACUAGACUUUUACUUAUAUUAAGAUAAACUGCUCUGAACUGUGCUUUGAAUGUGUGCCUAAAACAAGACUUUGAAUGUAAGAGUCACUUGGCAAUUGCACUCAGAGGAGGAAAAAGCCACCACAUGGGUUGCCACAUCCACACUCCCAGAGGUGCAUGUCUUUGUAUUUUAUAUGUUUAUUUUUUGGGGGAAGGGAAUAGCCACCAGCAUGAGUACAGCCAAUUCUUACUUUAGGAUGCAAGAAAGUCAGUUCUCAUAGUUGGUUACAGACUCACUCUUUCCUAAGUUGAGUAUUUAUUACAAUGAGAAUAGCUGGGCAAAUCAAUCCUCUGCCCACCUCAUUACAGAUAAAUUACCUAUAGAAGAGGACCAGUGAAGUUUGUCAGUCUAAAAACUAGUAAUAAGAAAGAAAUUAAAGAUUUCCAACAUGAGUCAGGCACAUUCUCAAUUUUGUUUAACAUUUUUUAAAAAUGAUAUUUAUAAGCCAUAUAUACAUAUAUGACUUAUCAAGUCCCUGUUCUGAAAUUUACCUCUAUUAUUAAUAUCUUGUUUCUUUAUCUUACCACCCCCUCCCUUUAAAAAAAAUAAGAACUGGAAUUCAGCUUUCUUUAGAAGUUUGAUUUCCAGUCUUCCCUCUCCAAUUCCGGGGGAAGCAGGAGCCCAUUGCAUGGAGUGCUCAGGGCAGGACGCCACCCUAGGAGCCCAGGUAGCCACUGGAGACUCACCCAGACACACACACUCCACAGUAAAACUUCAGGUCUAAGAAUCCAAUCGAACGCCUACCAUAUCUUGUCUUUAUUAUGUACAGUAUAUUAAUGUCAGGCUACCUAGGCUCUGACUUACAAAAAAAGACUCAAGUAUUUCCACUAAAAACACCUAAUCAUUUGAUUAUUCUGGGCUCAGUAAUUAUUCAAGUGGCAGCAGGCAGCCCCAACACUUAGCACUGGGAGUUCCGACAUGCAAGUAUUUAACCAGGGGUAAAACAGUAAUCUCUGGGGUUCCCAUCAAGGUGGAUAUUUGGAUGAUGGCUCAGGAAGUGUCCCCAGGAGGGGUGAGUACGCCGUUAGGUUGCUCGCCCCCCCCCCACCCAUGCUUGGCACGCCUCUGGCACUUCCCUCCCUAUUUGACCUACAGAAUUCCCCCCAACGCAGAGGCGGUGGGAUCGGAGAAAGCCGGAAUACACAUUUGUCCCGAACGCUCCCUUAGUCCGAAGGCCAGUGGGGACAAUGGGGAUAGUGGAGUCUGCGAGAUGCAGGAGCGCGGGACGCAGGGAAAAGUCGAAAGAGGGCUGGGGGCUGCCAGCUUUCCUCUCCUCACACAGCAAAAUAAGUCCUGCAAAUGAGUAGCUUCUUCCUCGUCUUUCUUUUCCAUUAAUAAUCCAUUCCGAGAUUAGCAGAGACCAAGGGGAUUAAAACAACAGAUAUAUGCAAAUGUGAAAUAAUAUUGCAAUCGACAUGGAGGGAGAAAAAUAAUUCUUUAGGAUUUCUUUGAGUAAAAUAAACUGCCUCCUCAGGAUUCCCUCCAGCCAGGCAGGGUGAGAAGAUGCACUUUUGUUUUCCUGUUCCCUCCAGCCAGGACCUGGUGCCUGUCCCCCCAUUCACCUCUCAGUCUGUCAGUUUCCUAAACUUUCACAGCCGCUACCCACCUCACCCUUGCCCCCAGCUCGGCUCCUGGGCCCAGAUGCCAGAAGAGAUACAAUGUUUCUGCCCUUGAACACACAGGCUGUAGAAGUAACUCGAAUUUGGCCACAGCUCUUUUUUUUUUUUUUUUUUAAGCAAAUUCUGUUUAUUUUGUACAAUGUGGAGAAAAUUUUUUGAAAAGGAAUUUAUUCUCGUUUUGAAACAGAAUUGAUCUUUCAUCCGUAGGAAUUAUUUUGACCCCAUGUUGUUACGCAGGAGAUGAGCAACUUCUUAGUUGCAAGCAAAGGGUGAUAAGGGGUCCCCUGGAUUGGGAGUGGUGGAGGGGUUUGGGGGCGGCAGGGGUCCAAGCCAAGCCAAACGGUUUUUCUCACGUGCAAACUCGCAAUCCAAUCCAUUCGGAGUUAAGCCUAGCAUGGGGCGGUGGGGGUGGGGGUGGGGGUGUUGAGGGGGGGAUCAGGAGCAUCUCUCUGAGAAGCCCUUUCAAACAAAAUCAAAACAGGACCGGACAACCUCAGACCGUCCCUAACAUCCCUGCUGCGAGGCCGCGGGCUGUGGAAUCUCGCACGUCACCUGGCCCCAGCAGGGCAGCCAGCUGAAGUGUUCAUUUAAUUUAAUUUAAUUUAAUUUUAUUUUAAUUUUUUCAAGUUAAGGCUGACUCUCGGCUUCAGUGCUUUUGCCAGCCAACGUCUCCUCCACUGACAGGAACCAGCAAACUUCAAGACUCAAAUAGGCGUCUUAAUUUAUGGACGCAAAACAGGUCUGCUUGUGGCCCCAAAUGCUCCGCGCGCUCAGUCCCCCGCGCCCCCAGCUUCGGUCCCUCCAUUUGAUCUCUGGAAAGCUUCACAUGUGAGAUAAAUGCACUCAAAGACUCCUCACAAGUAGCUCUUUGGAGCUUCAGAUGUGAAAUGGAUCAUUCCUCAAUCUGUAAUAGACCCUUCUGUGAAGCUCUUCAAUCAAACCUGAGAAUUCAAGGCGUUUUGUAGCAUCCUAAACAGAAGGAUAUUGAAGGGAGCUGAUUCUGCUUUGAUCCUUGUGCUUGUUGUCAAAGCGCUUGGGAUUGAAGAGACUGUUGGCUACAAUUGACUGUGACAAUUAGGAGAUGAUCAGAGCCCUAGAGUGGAGCACUUAAAGGGUUUGCAUUUAAAACACUCUUGGAGCACUAAUGGAUUAAAAUUCUGAUAACUGCACAUUUUCUUUUUAGAGAGGUAAUGAAUGAAUGAAUGAAAAGGCAGGGAUUAUUUGCCAUUCUAAGCGGGAACUGUCAGAAGAUUUCUACUUGAAGGAAAUUGUUUUGGAAGGUGAGCUGGAACAAGACUCUUGCAACUCAAGCAAAGUGACUCUGCCUGUGGUUUUUCGAUGUUUCUCUUCAUUGAAGAAUUCUGAAGAACUGUUCUUGGAUUUAGAAGUUGAUUUACAUUUUAUUUAUUGGAGAUUAUGUAGGUGAAUCAUAUGAAAACAUUUAAAACUAUGUGUAUUUGACUGUUAAUGAGUACAUCAGGGUCUUUUGCAAGCUCAGUUGAAAUGAUUUGAAAUGAGUUUUUCUAUUUACCAUCACAGUGUUUUUACAAUGUAUAAAUUGCCAUAUUGUGACAAAAUAAAUUAUUGAAAUACUUUGAAAAGUUUUUAGAAAUAUGCCUAAGAAAACAAUAUGUAAAUUCUUAGUUAAUUCACACGUUAAUUUAUUGAAAUAUUGCUGCUACUGAAAAGUUCUAGAGCCUUUAACACAACAUUCCAGAACAUUUGCUGUCUUGUUUUAAUAAGCUGCUUUCUUUGUAUACCUGUCUGGUGGCAGCACAAAAGUUGCCAGAUUUAGCAAGUAAAAAUCAAGAAUUUCUAGUUAAAUUUGAGUUUCUGAUAAAUAGUGAAUACUUUUUUUAGUAUAAGUAUGUCCCAUGCAGUGCUUGCAUUUUAUCUUGGAAACCUAGGUGAUACUCUGAUAUUGCAAUGACACAUUGAAUGGAUGGGUUAGUAAUUUAUAAAUUAUAAAUUAUCAUUUAUAGAUCAGUUUCCAUUCACUGUCAUAUUAGGUAGGCCAGCCAGCAUGCUGCUUUCAGAUAGAAACCAAAGGCUUUUAACUUAUUAUUGCUGAGUUUAACUUUCCCCAUAAUGUUCCCGGGGCAAGCUGUGAGUUGUCAUUUCGAGUAUAAUAAUUCCUGUCUGGCUAAUGCAAUUGAGACUUCGGAGAAGGUGGCCGAGGGGGUCUAGCCUACCUACGUUGACCAGGCUCUGACAGAGGUGUUUGGCGGUUACAGAGAAAGAGAAGUGAGUGAUGCAAUGACAAUAUAUUAGCUUUGUGAAGCCACAUCUUUCCUUUCAGGGUGGUGUUGUGACUACAUAGGUAAUAAGUUCGAAACCCUUAUAAUUCUGAUUUUGGUAGGGCCUUCUGGGAAAGGAAAGAUUCUAUGUCCUUGCAUAUUUCAUUUUAUUUUAUUAUAUUUUAUUUUAUUCUGUUUACAAUAAUCUAGUUGACAUGAAAGAAGCUGAGCUAAAACUUAAAGAAAAUCAGAUUUCUCUUUGAAGACAGUUUCAGUUCAGGCUGCUGGAACAAAGUACUAUAAACUGUGCAGUUUAUAAACAACAGACAUUUCUCAUCAUUCUGGAGGCCGGAAGUCUGAGAUCAGAGCGCCAGUAUGGUCAGAUUUUGGUGAGGGCCCCCUUCCAGGUUUGCAGAUGGUGUCUUCUUCCUGUGUUCUCACACAGUGGAGAGCAGAGCACUCUGGUCCAUUUCGCUCCUUAUAAGGGCACUAAUCUCAUUCAUAAGGGCUCCACACUUGUGACCUAAUCAUGUCCCAAAGGCUCACCUCCUAAUAUCAUCAAACUUGGUAUUGCGACUCCAACAUAUGAGUUUUUGAGUGACAUAAACAUUCAGUCCAUGACAAUUUCUCACUGUCCUUAAUUUUUUCCUCAGCAUUUGUCAGAUGCUGUCAAUGAGGACUCUCUGCAGCACAACAAUUUGAAAACCCUGUUUCCCGUCCCCUAAGCUCCAUUUUAAUUUCAUCCACAGCUUCAAGGAGUGGACAGUUCCUGGGAAGCCCAGGACUCUGGAACACUUUUUGAGUCUUCUAAUUUCUGCCUUAGACCCUUUUCCAGAACUGUAGAAGCCCGCUCAAUAUGCUUCCUGAAGCUUGUUGUAGAAAUGUGGGGGAGUUGACAUCCUCGGGGGCAGCCUGAUAGGAGACAGGAGCCUGUGGAUAAAUGUUCCAGCCACGUAUCUUUUAGAUGGGCAUUUCUGAGAAGCACUUGGCAUGCUGCUCAGAGGGCUCAUCUUCAACAACAGGGAUCUUAUGUACCCUUAUGGCACAUUAUGUGGGUUGGCCCCAAUCCUGCCUGCCUCGUUGUUUCCAUCCUCUGCCACCUAUUUCUAGGGAUAACCAACAUGCAUUGAAUUCCUUGUUUCAGGCCCUGUGUUCAGGGACACCCCAGCGAGGAUGCUCCUGAUGGUCUUUUGCUCCCAGCACCACAGUUAUCUCCUCAUUCUAUGACUGGGCACUCUACUUCCAUCAAGGUUUACUUUUCCUGUUGUCAGAAGAGAGUUCUGCCACCGUUCCUACCACCAAAACCGAGUCAUAUGGCUUACCGAGUACUUCAUGCAUGCUCACCUCACCUGAACUUGCUUUUACAAUGAAACCACUUUUUAUUGAACCCCCAACUUGCAAAUUUCCAUGCAGUUAAGAGUUCAACUGUCUGACAGUUUCUAAAACCCUCAUGAGGUCGUUCGUUUUGAACAAUAAAAAGGAUAAACAUAUGCAAUUUUUUUGUGCUUUGCUGCUUAUUGGUGGUUUCUUCUGGCAAUUAUAAUAAUGGGUAGCCCCUCGGGAGUGAAAGUAGAAACUACCCACAGCACUAGUGCCACCAUCACUGGCAGGAUUAGCUGCACCAAAGACAAAUAACAACAUUAGAUGUAACUCAGUCUUUUCCUGGUCAGUGAUGGGAGCUCAGUUACAAGCCAAAGUAGGUUCUGUCUAUUGGUUCAUAAAACUAUAAAAGGGAAUCUAAUGUUCUGCCAUUCAAUGUGUUAGAUGGGAAUACUUUCAGAACCAAUACAAACGGAAGGAACCUCAACAUGUGUAUCAUUGUCUAAAAGAAACUUUUUAAAGUUUUUUUGUACAUGAGAACUAAACUUCUCAUUGCCUACAGAUUAAAUUAUUUUGAUUGGCUGAAUUUCAAUGGAUACCUUAAAAUGUAAACCAGAAAAUAAUAUAAUUAUUAUGUGUUGAGAUAUAAGCGGGUUGCUUAGCCUGAAUCCAAAUUAGAAUUAGGAUACAUGAGUCACUACAGUUAAUAUAUAUAAACAAACAUAAACUAUGCAACUGAUCCAAUUAGAAAUAUUAGACACAUACACACUUAUAUAACUAACCCUGACAGUGGGAACAGACUCCACCCAGAAUAUUUCUUAGACAGAUUUUAGGAAAGGCCAAGGCAUCUUCUCCCAAAAUGCCUAAAGCCAAUCAGUAUUCAGUUUGUCUAUAUUUAAACCAUUCUUUGGGUAAUAGCACUCAACCAAUGUAGAGCUGCUAGAUAACUGUCCUAAAUUAUAAAGAAGUGUAUGUGAAUGAUCAAGUGUUCAGUAUCAUCAAUAGACAAACAUUUGUAGCUUUUAACUUUCAGCAAUGGAAGCAUUUUCUUCUCAGCAUUAAUACCAAACACCAUUUGAAUCAGAACUCUUUAAUUCUUGGGGCCCCAGAUGACAGUCUGAUGAACCCAUGUCCUAGGAGAGAGAAACAUUUCCUUUUUACAUGUAUAUCACUUAUAACUACCAGAGGUUAGGGAGAGAGGCGACAAGCCAUGGAUCCCCACCAGCUCUGACUCAGAUACCCAUGAGCCCUUUGGGAUACAUCCCAACAUUCUCAUGAGAUAGCCUUUAAACUUUGAGCUCAGAAAAAUUGCUUCAAUUCUGUUAAGUAAGGAUGACUUGAGAAUAUCAGCCAUUCUCCCCAUUUAGAAUCAUAGUGAGAAGAGAAUAGUGGACCAUCAUAAAUUCAAGCUUUGAAAAACUGACCUUUUGACUAGUUUGCAAAUCAAUAUUGACUUUGAUGUAGAAAAGGCCUCCAGUUCUUUGUUCUAUGAAUGAGAAGUGGCAUGGUUAGGAUUAGAGGGUGAGUGUUUGUCCUUGAUCUCUCUGCUAGAGAGUUAGGCAGAGGCCAGAAUGAUGUACAGGGACCCUAUAACUUGAGUUGUUCUUUGGUUAACAGCACCCUUCUUUAACUUCUGCUUGUUACCCGGGAUCUGAUUUUACAAUAUUAUUACAUAACUUACUCUUUGACAAACUGCCUACUGAUUAUAAAGGGGUUCUGACUUUAUGUCCAGCUAACAAUUUAGGUACUGGUAGAAUAUUAUUAAUUUUUUAUUUUAUUAUUCACUUAUUCUCUAAGUGUGCUAAUCUCUAACACUCCAUCAUUAUGUAAUCUGAUACAUGAUAUAGUACUUAGAGAAUAAGUGACUAAUAACAUUAAAGUAGUCCAUUAUAACUAAAUAUUACAAGAUUUGCAAAUAAUGCUCUGAUGGAAUAAAAUAGGCCUCAGAAAACAUGGUUUUCCCACACACUUUAGUUAUGUGAACUUGAAUAGUCCUAUUACCUCUCAGACUUCAUUUUCCUAGUAUUUUAAAUAAAGGAAUUGAAACAAAUGAUCACUAAUUUUUUCCCCAGCUCUAUGUUCUAUGGAUUUGUUGAACGAUGAUUAAAAACAUAACUACAUAAGUGCUUUAAUUGGAAGGAUAUGAUUUCAUUUUUCUUGGCUGUUUCAACUUUUAAUAAGUUUAACUUAGGUAGAGUGGUAACAUUUUCUGCAGAACUCUAAGAACACAUUAAGCCUUUGACCAAAACUUCUGUUUUUUGAUGGGUAGGCACAAAACAAUUAAGAAUUUUUAUAAAAUAAAUUUCAAUCUUAUUCACGUGUCAAAAAUCCAGCAAUAAGGUGAACACUUGCUUUUUAUAGAGGAGUGUGCAUAGGCUCUUGUUAGUUCCAGGAUGAUAACAAGGUGUUAGGAUUAUACAAUGUGGAGCUGCAGAUUGGGAUUUGGUGGACUGCCAGAAACUACAGGGCCAAAAGAACACAUCGAUUUAUGU